UACAGAGGUCUCAAGCGUUGUUCGGAUUCAUUGGGCGUAAAGGGUGUGUAGGUGGCGCGCUAAGUCGGGUGUGAAAUUUCGGAGCUUAACUCCGAAACUGCAUUCGAUACUGGCGUGCUUGAGGACUGGAGAGGAGACUGGAAUUUACGGUGUAGCAGUGAAAUGCGUAGAUAUCGUAAGGAAGACCAGUGGCGAAGGCGGGUCUCUGGACAGCAACUGACGCUGAGGCACGAAGGCCAGGGGAGCAAACGGG
rnacentral:rRNA from 1 species